GCGACGGUAGUCUAACGGCAGGAUUUCACCCUGCCACGGUGGAGGUCCGGGUUCGAAUAGUUGACGCU
rnacentral:tRNA from 1 species